GCACCCAUUUCAGCAGCACAUAUGCUAAAAUUGGAAUGAUGAAGAGAAGAUCAGCAUGGUCCCCACACAAGGAUGACACGCAAAUUCAUGAAGUGAGAAAAAGAAAA